UGGCCUUCGGGUUGUAAACCUCUUUCAGCAGGGAAGAAGCGAAAGUGCGGUACCUGCAGAAGAACGCCGGCUAACUACGUGCCAGCAGCCGCGGUAAUACGUAGGGCGCAAGCGUUGUCCGGAAUUAUUGGGCGUAAAGAGCUCGUAGGCGGCUUGUCACGUCGGUUGUGAAAGCCCGGGGCUUAACCCCGGGUCUGCAGUCGAUACGGGCAGGCUAGAGUUCGGUAGGGGAGAUCGGAAUUCCUGGUGUAGCGGUGAAAUGCGCAGAUAUCAGGAGGAACACCGGUGGCGAAGGCGGAUCUCUGGGCCGAUACUGACGCUGAGGAGCGAAAGCGUGGGGAGCGAACAGGAUUAGAUACCCUGGUAGUCCACGCCGUAAACGGUGGGCACUAGGUGUGGGCAACAUUCCACGUUGUCCGUGCCGCAGCUAACGCAUUAAGUGCCCCGCCUGGGGAGUACGGCCGCAAGGCUAAAACUCAAAGG
rnacentral:rRNA from 1 species